rnacentral:rRNA from 1 species
AACGAACGCUGGCGGCAUGCCUAACACAUGCAAGUCGAACGAGACCUUCGGGUCUAGUGGCGCACGGGUGCGUAACGCGUGGGAACCUGCCCUUAGGUUCGGACUACCUCAGAGAAAUUUGAGCUAAUACCGGAUGAUGUCUUCGGACCAAAGAUUUAUCGCCUUUCGAUGGGCCCGCGUUGGAUUAGCUUGUUGGUAGGGUAAAGGCAUACCAAGGCGACGAUCCAUAGCUGGUCUGAGAGGAUGAUCAGCCACACUGGGACUGAGACACGGCCCAGACUCCUACGGGAAGCAGCAGUGGGGAAUAUUGCACAAUGGGCGAAGGCCUGAUCCAGCAAUGCCGCGUGAGUGAUGAAGGCCUUAGAGUUGUAAAGCGCUUUUACCCGAGAUGAUAAUGACAGUAUCGGGAGAAUAAGCUCCGGCUAACUCCGUG